rnacentral:rRNA from 1 species
UACGAAGGGGGCUAGCGUUGCUCGGAAUCACUGGGCGUAAAGCGCAUGUAGGCGGCUUUCUAAGUCAGGGGUGAAAUCCUGGAGCUCAACUCCAGAACUGCCUUUGAUACUGGAGAGCUUGAGUCCGGAAGAGGUGAGUGGAACUCCGAGUGUAGAGGUGAAAUUCGUAGAUAUUCGGAAGAACACCAGUGGCGAAGGCGGCUCACUGGUCCGGUACUGACGCUGAGGAGCGAAAGCGUGGGAGCGAACGGG